GUAGGACAGUGCUCAACUAUCUUGUAAUAAAGAGGAAAGUCCACCCACUAUCGUAAUCACUCGCUAAAGCGAGCUUGAGAAAUUGAGGGCAACCACUCAGAAACGAAACCACCUAAAUUUAGGAUGAUGUGUUGAAAAUGGUAACAUUUUCAAAAUGCUCAGAAAUCUUUGAUUUCUGACAGAUGUGAAGAUCUUGGCGACAAGAUUGAGUUAACCCACAGACGUUUUUUUAGGAAAGGAUGAAACGGUGAGACCUGAUUUGUGCAACUCCUUUGAGAGGCUAAGUUGAAUGUUGAGACAAACUUUUAUCUAAUUUAUUAGAUUAGUUUGACAAAAGGUGGCUUAUAGCUGUUCUAC
rnacentral:RNase_P_RNA from 1 species